rnacentral:rRNA from 1 species
GGAUAAUCUACCCUUAGGACCGGGAUAACCCUGGGAAACUGGGGAUAAUACUGGAUAGGCAAUUUUUCCUGUAAUGGUUUUUUGUUUAAAUGUUUUUUCGCCUAAGGAUGAGUCUGCGGCCGAUUAGGUAGUUGGUUAGGUAAUGGCUUACCAAGCCGUUGAUCGGUACGGGUUGUGAGAGCAAGAGCCCGGAGAUGGAACCUGAGACAAGGUUCCAGGCCCUACGGGGUGCAGCAGGCGCGAAACCUCCGCAAUGUGAGAAAUCGCGACGGGGGGAUCCCAAGUGCCAUUCUUAACGGGAUGGCUUUUCAUUAGUGUAAAGAGCUUUUGGAAUAAGGGCUGGGCAAGACCGGUGCCAGCCGCCGCGGUAACACCGGCAGCUCUAGUGGUAGCAGUUUUUAUUGGGCCUAAAGCGUCCGUAGCCGGUUUAAUAAGUCUCUGGUGAAAUCCUGUAGCUUA